UCACCUGUGCUGGCCCAGGUGCUAUUUAAGAGUGUCUGAGAUGUGGAGGGUCAAAACCUUUAUUUGGCUCGCCCUAUUUAUUUGUCUCUCUCAUUCCUUUGUCUGAUCUUCCCUGUUUUAGUGUUGCUCAACUUUCUGGUUUGCUUCCUGUCUUUAAGUUUGGUGUGGGUUUUUCUUUUGUUUUUCUCUUCUUGGGGAGAUUUAGUGGGAGCACAUGGUGGGUGUCAUGUUCUAGACCUCACGGUAUAAUUAACUUGACAAUGGAGACUGAAGUACUAUUAGUUUUAGCAUUAUAUCCUAAGCAUGAAACCAUACACACAGCAAGAAAACACAUUCCUCUGCUUCCUUCUCCUUGUGCCAGACGGGCAGACGUUGCAGUGCCUCCGUGUGCAACUACCUUGAGCAGCAGUUUGAGGGACUUUGCAGGGUAAAUGCUGCGCAGUGAGGCAUAGGGGAUUGUCUGCAGCAGGACGACCCCCAGUGGACGGGCGCCAAGGGGUGUGGUGCUCCUCCAGCAGCUCUCUCAUUAGGAUUUCUCUGUACUUUUGAUCUGUCGACUAUGCUUCCAACACAACACACCUUUUGGAUGCCAUCGCUCAGUUCAGGAAGCAUAUUGAUUUGGGCAAGAAGAAGAUUAGCAGAGCUGGCGUUUGAGCACAAUGCUUGGAUGUCAAAGCAGUUCCAGUCCUUUGGUGACCUGUUUGAUGCCCAGGAACACAAGCAGCAAGCAACUCACCUUUGUGCCCAUGAGGUUUGGCAAUGCAUGUGUGACGCAGAAGGCUGUCAUUUACAAGACGGUACAAUCAUUCAAGCUUACACACAUGCAUCCCCACCCAUGACAGUUCUCAUCUGUUGAGAGACUGUUUUGUUAUCCCAACCCAGAGAUCCUGGAGACAGGGCCACUAGAAUGAGUAUGCCCACCUCUACACCAAUUUUUAAAAAUACUAGGUACUGAAAGUUAAUAUUUUUGUGUUUAAACUUGUGUGUACAGAUAUGAUGUUUAGGCGUGAAACCAAGAAUGCUGUCUAAGAACAGUUCAGUUUUGAAAUAUUUUGUAUUUGCAUGUGUCGAUCCCCAGAUGCAGGGAAGGAGAAAGGAGGCAUCCUGGCACUGCAAGUGAAAGAGAAGGAUGUUCCCCACUCGGUUAGCGCAUGUUUAUUCAUUCACUCACUCAUUCACCACGGCACAAACAUUGUCAUGUUCUACAAACCCCGAAGCCUCUCUCAGGGCACAAAUGCUACACAUUGCUGCACAGGGUAGCGCAUGCAAAGUCAAUGAGUGUAGACCUACGGUAGGUUAAUGGAUACCAAGUUCUAAACCUCAUGGUAAAUACACUGACUUAGUGGAAGAAGCCCUGUGAGGUUCUCAGGUC